CGGCGUGGCCUCCGUGGACAAAGUCCGCUGGCUGCGGGAGGCACUGUUGGCUGUGGAUCGGGUGGAGGAAGAGCCCGAGCGGGAGCUGCGGGAGCCGGAGGAGGAGGAGCUGGGCUUGACCAGAUGUACUUCCCUGCGUCGCUGGACUGCAGCGAGAUGAUUUGCAGGGAUGCAUCUCCGGCGAGGAAGUUGGAGGUGAAGGAGACACGGCCCUUCUGCUCCUCGUUCAGGUCAUCAUAAACACGGCCUCCAGAGUAGGUGAUCACCUGAGGAGCAGAGCAGGCACUGAGUUGUUUGAUUUUCGCAUGGAACAACAAAUCCGAGCGUUUCCAGGAGCUGCACAUCCCGGCAAAGUGAAUUGGCAAAGGUCACACGGGAAGCCUGGGGCAGGGUGUGAAAGCAAACCUGGGUUUCUACCCUGAGAAUAAUGCAAAAAGUGGAUUUAUUUCUGCUGGAGGUUUAUAUUGGGCACUUGUACAAGUGUAAAAACAGGCAUCAGUUUGUACCACAACACAUCAAAGCAGUCUGCAGGUUUGGCUGUGCUAAUUUAAGUCGAUGCAGACCUCAUUUUUAUAAGGAUUAAACUACUGUUUAGUCUGUGUCGUACUGAAACCACGGAUUCAAAAACUGGGCCUGCAAAAUCCAAGGUUAUUUUGAAAGCCUGAAGGGAACUUCUGAACUCGAUCUAAUGAAGAUUGACUACAUUAAAAAAAAAAAAAAAUAUUGUAACCGAACCGGGUCUGUGUUGGAUAUCAAAUAAUUGUUCCACAUUCUAAAUCUCUCUAAAUCAGCUCUGUUUUCCAAACCCUGCCCUCAUCACCACAACAACCUGCAAAGUUCAGCACAGCAGUGCUGUUAAAUGGAGGGCUGGUGGCAUGAAGGCAGGAAUAAAGUGAUUUUCUCAGCAACCCUGAUGCUGUAGAGCCAGGGAGGGGCAAAAUGACUUGCAUGAUUUUGGAAGGUAAAUGUAAGUUUAUUCAAAAGCACUUUUCUGUUUUAUAGAGAACAUCAUGAACAUUAAUUCCACAGGUCUUAGAGUAAAACCAUUUCACCUGAUUGGUGCACUGGGCUUAGUGAGGAUAUCCAGCCAAACCCACCGCUUUCUGCACGGUCUCGGAGAUGUGCAGCAGCCACUCGAUGUCCAGGCUGCCCUGCUCCAGCAGCCCCAGGCGGUGGUGGCAGGGCAGGGUCACGUUUUCCUCAGCCACCCGCUUGAACUCGGUCUGAGCCUCGCACAGCCAAACGGAGCACGAAGCUGGAAGACAAAAUUCCAUUUUCAAAGUGCUCAGAGGCAGGGUGUGGAAGAGGUUUUAACAGCAGCUUCUGUGAGCCAGAGAGAAGUUUGAGAAGAGGAGCCACGUUUACCCCGAAAGAAUUUCCUACCAAGGUUACUGACGUAGAAACCGAGAAAGAAAGGAGGAUAAAUAAGAGAUAAAUAAGAGAAACCUGCAGCUGCCUAUUCCAACAAGCACUUUGUUUGUCUUUCCUGGCCAAUGAGUAAAGUGUAAACUGAAGAGUUCUGUAAGAAUGCAUAAAAAGCGUGCAUGCUGCAAUAAAAACAGGUUUGAAACCUUCUGAAAA